UCUUCAUCUUCACGCCACCUUCCCCUAUCUCUCUCUCUCACCAACAUUAUCCUCCAUCUUUCUAUUCAAGAAUCCAAGACCAAGACUUCAUCUUUUUAUCAUUCAAAGCUAGGAAAUGGUAUGGAGUAGUCAACUUAUGAGAGCGCGAUAGUUGGAGUCUACUCUCCACCUUUAGCUAGUUCCUUUAGUUAGUUUGUUGUUUGGCCUAUGAGUCCUAUGAUAGUUUAUGAUGCGUAAACAGUUUAAGACUAGUUUCCUAUUUAGUAUGACUUUUGUUUGUUGAGGAUUUGACUAGCAUGUGCAUUUAGGUUGUGAUAGCCUAGAUGUGGCAUAGCAUUCCCGUUGAAUUGAUUUAGCUUCCGCACUUUAUUUAUAGCAGUUAGACUUUGUUUACCUAUCUUUGCCCAGUUAAUGCUUUAAGUUGUGUUUAGGAUCGGGGGUGUUACACUAGUUGUAUAAGUUUUUGUGUCAUUGUUCUUACUUUUGCUAAGUAAAUUGAUUUUGAUUUGGGCUUGUGCCCCGUGGAUU